rnacentral:rRNA from 1 species
CAGUCGCCACGGGAAAACGGAGGGUGCAAGCGUUAUCCGGAUUUAUUGGGUUUAAAGGGUCCGUAGGCGGACUUAUAAGUCAGUGGUGAAAGCCUGUCGCUUAACGAUAGAACUGCCAUUGAUACUGUAAGUCUUGAGUAUAUUUGAGGUAGCUGGAAUAAGUAGUGUAGCGGUGAAAUGCAUAGAUAUUACUUAGAACACCAAUUGCGAAGGCAGGUUACCAAGAUAUAACUGACGCUGAGGGACGAAAGCGUGGGUAGCGAACAGGAUUAGAUACCCCAGUAGUCCCUGUCUCUUAUAC